GCCAUCAUUAAGUUGGGCACUCCAGCGAGACUGCCGGUGACAAACCGGAGGAAGGUGGGGAUGACGUCAAAUCAUCAUGCCCCUUAUGACCUGGGCUACACACGUGCUACAAUGGACAGUACAAUGAGCAGCGACACGGCGACGUGAAGCGAAUCUCAUAAAGCUGUUCUCAGUUCGGAUUGUAGGCUGCAACUCGCCUACAUGAAGCCGGAAUCGCUUGUAAUCGCGGAUCAGCACGCCGCGGUGAAUACGUUCCCGGGCCUUGUACACACCGCCCGUCACACCACGAAAGUUUGUAACACCCGAAGUCGGUGAGGUAACCGCAAGGAGCCAACCGCCUAAGGUGGGAUAGAUGAUUGGGGUGAAGUCGUAACAAGGUAACCAAGGGCGAAUUCUG
rnacentral:rRNA from 1 species